UUGCCUGCCACGCCAUAACAAGGAGCGACCCGUUAGGAAGGAGGAGGGGAAAAAAGCUACAGACAGGGGAUAAACAAUAAGAGGAGAAAGUUUGGUUGUGAUCUGAUGGCAAACCCAGCGGUUGAGCAGAGAGGUAUAUAAAGGGAAGCACGAGAGGCAGUUGAGGCUGUGAAAUCUUUGAGGAUGAGUCAUAGAUGGAUCAUCAAGGAAGGAGAAAAGCCGCUUUUUUAGGGUUUUCUUUCUUCUUUUUCGUUCCUUAAUCUUUUUCUGGUUAAAAGCAAAGAGAAGAUUAGGCAUAUGGUAUGUCUGGUCGCUUUGAGAAAAGAAACUCAAAGAGGAAAUAUAUAUAUAUUAAAAAAAAUACUAAUAGAAAAAAAAAAGUGUUGCAUGCAACUAACAAAGUGCUUUUGUCUAGUCCUUGAGAAGGAUCUAGUCGCAGCUCUUGUUCUCUAUGAAGGCUUUGAACGUU